CGCUGUUUCAAAAUACAUUUAUCCGGAAUAAGCCUAACAAAAGAAGUUACUAUUAGUUUGUCUGCCUCAAAUUACAUUAAGAAGGAACUUCAAGCUAAAAAAAAAUACAUUUAGCUGCUGUUUCCUAUCCCCUUCCUUAGCUAACAGGUCUGCAACUUAAUUAAUUUUGUUCCCUAAAGCUAUGCAUUGAUGCUUGCAUCAGCUAGACUGUCUAGCUCAUAUAUUUGGGGUGCGGUCCUUGGCCUGGACCUUGCGUGAACACGAAACGCUUUGUUCAAGGAGCUGUCCUUUUAUUUUUGUUUCCCUAAAGCUAUGCCGGAAACGCGCUUCUCAACUGGUGCAAACAUGACCUGUAAUCAGAGAUGAUAUUAGUAGUUAUCAUCUUUUAUGAAUGGCCUUGCAGCUUCUGUAAUGAAUUUCCUUUUUGGUACCCAUUUGUUCUCUAAAUAUGUCUUGCAUGAAGUUCAGUAGUUAUAAGAAAAUUUCAUCAGAUUAAUUAAACAAAGCUUGAAGUAAUUACCAAUUGCACUUAUAGAAUAACAGUUCAAAUUAGAGAGCACUCACCAAAUUAAGAUGGGAUAAUUUUCAUUUUCCCAACUUUCUCGGAGAAAGAAUUAUUAAGUCAUCAUUUGCUACUGCAGCAUCAUCAAGAUUCUCAUGUCAAAUUACUAGGGCAGAUUUCAUUUCAAUUUCUCUCCAUAUUUCUAUGUGAAUCUUGAUGGUGCUGCAUCAGCAAGCAACAACUGUAUGUCAAUCCAUGCACCAUCUAACUGUGAUGUGAAGAAU
rnacentral:lncRNA from 1 species